UGGGGAAUAUUGCACAAUGGGCGAAAGCCUGAUGCAGCGACGCCGCGUGAGGGAUGACGGCCUUCGGGUUGUAAACCUCUUUCAGCAGGGAAGAAGCGAAAGUGACGGUACCUGCAGAAGAAGCGCCGGCUAACUACGUGCCAGCAGCCGCGGUAAUACGUAGGGCGCAAGCGUUGUCCGGAAUUAUUGGGCGUAAAGAGCUCGUAGGCGGUUAGUCGCGUCUGCUGUGAAAACUCGAGGCUCAACCUCGGGCUUGCAGUGGGUACGGGCUGACUAGAGUGCGGUAGGGGUGACUGGAAUUCCUGGUGUAGCGGUGGAAUGCGCAGAUAUCAGGAGGAAUACCGAUGGCGAAGGCAGGUCACUGGGCCGCAACUGACGCUGAGGAGCGAAAGCAUGGGGAGCGAACAGGAUUAGAUACCCUGGUAGUCCAUGCCGUAAACGUUGGGCACUAGGUGUGGGGUCCAUUCCACGGAUUCCGUGCCGCAGCAAACGCAUUAAGUGCCCCCGCCUGGGGAGUACGGCCGCAAGGCUAAAACUCAAAUGAAUUGACGGGGUCAUAGCUGUUUCC
rnacentral:rRNA from 1 species